rnacentral:rRNA from 1 species
GACGUAGGGCGCGAGCGUUGUCCGGAUUUAUUGGGCGUAAAGAGCUCGUAGGCGGCUUGUUGCGUCGACCGUGAAAACCCGUGGCUCAACUGCGGGCUUGCGGUCGAUACGGGCAGGCUAGAGUUCGGUAGGGGAGACUGGAAUUCCUGGUGUAGCGGUGAAAUGCGCAGAUAUCGGGAGGAACACCAGUGGCGAAGGCGGCGACCUGGGCAGAUACUGACACUGAGGUGCGAAAAGCGUGGGGAGCAAACAGG